ensembl:lncRNA
UUCUGGACUGGGUCUUAACUCUUAGCAGCAAUUAAGGUUUUCUUCUCUCUGUCUACUUAUUUGCAUAAUGUCAUACCCAUAUGGUCUUGUUUUAUUUACCUCUUCAAGGGGAAAAACUACUUUAGAAAGAGAUGAAACCAGAAGCCUUGACUUUCAGAAGCCCUGCUUCUGUCCCUCCUGCUCUCUCACCCUGUCUCUUUAAUUCUGUCCCAUCUUUGCUUCUCUCUCCUGACAUCUUGAUUUUGAUAAACCAGGAAGUUGCUUGAGUGAUAGGAUCCAUUUCUUCCAGUGAACGGUUCCAGUGGGUGUCUUGUUGAGGGGUUUAUUCCAGCGGCAUUUACAGCCCGGCCUGAGAAAUAAUUUCUAGAGCCAGGGAAAGCAGCACUGCGGAAUUGAGGAAGAAUGGAAUUCUCGCUUUCAAUCCUCCUCUAAAUUGAUGAUCAACGUCAUCCUCCUGGCUCCGUAUGAAGUGGUUGUGGACAUGGAACACUUGGUUGGCUACACAGGCAUCUGUCCUUCGUAGGGCUCACACCAAUGCUGAGAAUGAUGCCCACCGAGUUUCACAGGAAAUAUUUCAGACACAUGGCUGAUGGCAGACUUCAAGUAACAUGUAACUUAACAGAUCCUUAUGCUUUGGGAGUUGCAGUCGAGGUCUGAGAAGCCAUAGACCUAAGAUGCAAUUUUUUUGAGUUUAUCUGUAUCUAUAUAAAUACAUUUUCUUUUUUUCUCAAAGAAUAUUUCGAUUUUUUCUUGAAGAAAUUUCAAAAAAGAGGAAGAAAAAAUGGGGAAAAAAGACUUUUUUUCUAUUUUAAAAUUCAUUUUUGUUUUAUUUUUGUUACCAGACUGUUCCAGCAAUUUUCUUUCCUGCUUAAUGUUAUCUUUUAAGCCUGUCUCCAAGUUUUUGCAAAAUGACCAUUUUCAAAGUGAUACCUAAAUUCAAUUUCAAUUCAUUCCCAAAUGUAAAGUCAUUAAAAUGCCCCCAAAUUAGAAACAGAAAUACAAUAGUCUAGCCAUUCGGAAAGUACAUACUAAUGUGCUCACUUAAAGCUAAAGACUGAGCUCACAAUUACUUUAACAUUAGAGCUCUAAAAAAAUCAGUAAUUAUGAGUUUACUAAUCCACAAUUUGUAAUGAUUUGCAUAUGACUGGAGUGAAAGCAUAAUUUCAAACAUCUUCAUUAUAAUCUAUAUGCUAAAUUGACUGAACCAAUCCCAUUGUUAGCAUUUGCUGUCAUAAAUAGCUUUACAACAAACAUGUCUAAGCAUUAUUUUUUUCUGCUAUUAAGAGCAUUUCCUUAGAAAUGAGGUCAGAAAUUCAAUCAUUAGUUCCAAAAAUAUAAGUGCAUCUAACUAUGACGAAAUUUCCAAUGAAACUGCUUUCUAAAUUAUGUUCCGGUUAGCACUGGGCGUAUCUAUUCAAUUUAACCUUAUCAGUAUCAAGUGACACUUAAAAAAAUACAUGAUGUAGAGGACUUCACCUCAGUGUUUGCAUUUCUUGGCUAAUGACUCAGAUUGAAGGGGACAAGGUAGUCUGUGUAUUUGGUUUGAGGCAGACAUCCAUACACUGGAGCAUAAUCCAUCCAUCUCUCACUCUGCACCCUACGACACCAAGAACAGCAAUUCAGCUUUGAUUAGAGUUAAGUUGUUUUUCUUCCAGAAACUUCUCUUUUAUGCUUACGGUCAUGAAAUCUAUCGUAAAAACUGGUAGAAAGAAUACACUCCCCCCCUCCCCCCCCAUAAAUUCAAGUUCCCAUGAGCGCUGGAUGGCUCCUUGCAGGAGUUAAAGAUAAUUUGUAGGGAUGCAUAUUUUCUUACAGAACCAAGUGACUGAAGGGAGUUGUAACCUGGUUUCAAAUACUCUUGGGCUUCCUCACUCAGAGCUACUUUUUGUCACUGCAAUUAGAGCAAGGGAGACUGGUUUUAAAGGCUAAGUGUAGUUGUCCAGUGAACAAAUGAUGGAGAAACACACACAGGGAGGGAGCAAUUUCCCUUCAUUUUCUUCCUUUUUCCAUUCUUCCUUUCCACCUUCCCACUUUCCCUCCUUUCUAUCUUCCUUCCUUCCUUCCUUCCCUCCUUCCUUCCUUCCUCCCUCCCUUCCUUCCUUUCUCUCUCUCUCUCUCUUUCUCUCUUUCUCUCUUUUUCUUUCUUCUUUCAUUAGGCAUCUAUUUAGUCUGAGGUAGAAUAUAUGGCAGAUAGAAUUUCAUUAGGAUAACGAAUACUACAAUAUCACUAUCAGUAGCCUUGGCUUAUUGACUGGUUAGGGUAAAACCCAAAUUGGCUGGACUGAAUGAGGAAUGCAACUUUUGGUAAAUAAAAUUUAAAACCAAUUAGGGAUAUUUUGGUGAUUUUUCUCUCCUUCAAUUCUUGUUGUUGAAACUCUUCUUUCCCCCCCUGAAAUGCAUCUCCUUGUUUUCAUGCUAGGAGGAGGAGUCCUGUCAUGGCAAUUAAGUUUUCUUAGAUAGAAAACCUUACAAAAUCUUUAUUCUGUAUAGUGAUUCUUGAAAAGGACUGAAGAUGCAGUUAUUAGGGAGGCGCCUUCCUUCUCCAGCCUCCAGGACAUACUCUGAAAACUGCCAUUUUGUUGUUACUGUGCAAACGUUAACUCAUUUCCCUACCGUGACGGAGACUAACUAGCAGCACAACACACCUGUUUCCUCUUCUUCCUGGGCAUGCAGCCUACAUUUCCCAGCCUCCUUUGCAUUUAGGUGUGGUCAUGUGACUGAACUCUAACCAAUAGAAUGUGAUCAGAAGUGAUAUGUCCCACUUUCUAGUCCAAACACAAGGAUCUCUCCAUGGUCUCUUCCAUGCUCUUUCCAGUCUAUCAGCUUGGUGCAGACACAGAUAAGCCAUUAACCUUGGGACCUCUGGGUUGACGAAGAUGGAGCCAUGAGAUGGAGAAAUCUGUUUCCUGGAAUCAGAAAGAAGGCCCCUUGCUAAUCAACACCACCCAUCUUGGAUUUUAUGUUUGUGAAAAUUUCUAAUGUGUUUUGGAUAUUGUACAUUUUUUAAAUUUGUAUGUAAUAGCAGCUAGCGAUAUCUCAAUUAAUGUUCUUAUCACUUGCUAAUAAAAGUAAAGUUGAAACCCAAAUUUCAGUUAACCAAUGUUUGUGAUGAGUUGACUUCCAGGGAAUCAAAGUUUUCUUACAAUCAAUAUAAACAGAGUUCUCUCCCAGAGAGAGGGAGCGGGGUGGGUAGAGGGCAAAUAUCCAGGAAUUAAGAAAGAGAAAUAGACCUUGCCACAUUUCUCUGAACAAAAGAACUCAACAGAGCAAUAAAUGACAUCCCAAAUAUACAAUGGAAAUUGUUCUCCCACGGAUUGUUGCUAAAUACCUCCCAGUUUGUUUGUCUGGGCUGAUGAGGUGCUUUCUGCACUGGGUGAGUUACUUCUUUCUUCUUUGUGGAUUGAUUCUCUUGCAGCUCCUAAAAACGUUUAUGCCAUUCAUAAAUAUUAUUUGACUGGAGGUAGUAUAUAUUUAACUGGGGCUCAUAAAUAUGCCCUUAAGUUUUUUUUCUUCGGUGUUCUGAUUCUUUUCUAUCUUCCCUAUUUCCCAUCACCCUUCUGAGACCCUAAGUCAAAGUAAAUUUACGUAUGUAUAUUUACAUAUUUCAUGGCUGUGUUUCUUUAUCAGAAGGAACCCUGAACUGGAGCCAGGAGGCCUUAUUCAAAUCACUGCCACUAACUAUACUUGUGACUGGUCAGGUUGAUUUCCCAUCUGUGUGACGGGAGUCAGAAAACAGUGGGAGACUGUGUUCUCUGUGCAAAGCCUGCCCAGCGCCCAAGAAAUGUGAGUCCCCUUUUCGUAGCAUGCCUUCCAGGUACGACAUUCCAUGACAAAGUGAUGUAAACUGUCCCUUUUGAACUUCAUUCCUAAAUCUUCCUUCUCCAUUUUUUUCUUCUUCCUUCUUUUUCUCUUGUUAUCCUGGAGGGAUCAUUCAGUGGUGGAGCCGGAAUGAUGGAUAUGCCAGGGUGGCUGAACUGUUGGCUCAUCUGGAAUUAUCCAGAUUGUGGGCUACUCAAUCAUGAAACAUUCAUUGAGCAUCUAAAAUUUGCCAGGUACUAUGCUAAGUGGGGUGUUUUUUUAACCUAAUUUUUACUGUGCUAUUUUCCUUUUUACACAAACAACACUGGCUCACUGUAGUCUUUUCUGAAAAUAUUUUUAAUAAUAAUAAUAAUAAUAAUAAUAAAUAAUUUAUACCUCCACUUUCUAGAGGCUACUACUACUAAUAGUUGGAUGUAUAUUUUUUCCAGAGUUUUUACUAUGUAAAUACGUACUUUAAAAAAGAGACUAUAAAAUUAUAUGCACAUCUUGUUUUAUAACCUGAUUUUUCACAUUAAUAAUCUGUUGACUUUAUUUCGCUUUCUCUUCACUGCUGGCUGGUUGGAGCGGAAGAGGUGAUCUUUCCCGCGUGUGAUGUAAAUUCAUUGCAGGAUGCAUAUACCAGAAAAACGCUACAAGGGGGCACUCCAAUGGACUCUAAGCUCAAAUUCAACAUUAAACCAAAAGGAGGUGAGGGUGCAAAUGAUGUCCGAAAAGGUUCUUAUUUUGAAUCAUUUACUGGAAACACCAUGGUCGCGUUAGAAACUUUUUUGUGAGUGAGAAGAAAAUUGCAAGACUGACCAGAUUCAAGAGUGAAACUCAUCUGUGUCAAUGUGUGUUGGCCCAAGUAGGACACUCAUGCAAACACACCGCCCUUUUACUAACAAGGUGUGUGAGGCAGCUGAUCUCCUGCUCAUCCCCCAGUUAUAUCUGUGGGCUUUGUGGUGAAUGAACAUGGAUAGUCAUUUCAUCUCCUAAUCAACAAGAGAAUGAGUACUGGGAGACCCCAUCGUCUCUGAGAGGCCACAUGGAGCAAAACACAGUUAUCUGAACCAAGGGCUUCUUAGAC